CUCUCUCUCUCUCUCCCUCAACCACGCCGCACCCUCCCAACCCUAAUCCCUUCGGUCCCCGUGACAGAUUCCGUCGCCGCGCCGCCAACGUCGUCGCCGGAGGUGGUGGCCGCCGACUCCGCCGCGCAGGAGGGGGCCACGGCGAGGGUGGCGAGGAGGACGUCGGGUGCUCGACGAUGUCACGAAGCGGGAUCUAGGCGGACUCGGGGAGGCCGCGGAUGAGGUCGACCGUCUCAUAGCUGUACGCCUCGAUGGCCUGCGUCGCGCCUGCGACGACGAGCUCCCCGAGGAGGCCGUGCGAUGGAGCGCCCUCUCCUCCUUGUCCCCUGCGCCGCCCCCUCCUCUUCGUCCCCUGCGCCGCCCCCCUCCUCCUCGCCCACCCCCAGGUGGUCGAUUCCUCCUCCCCCCUCGUCCCUGCGCCGGCUGCGGGGGUGAACUGGGAGCUUGGGAUGCGGUUUCGUCCCUUCACGGCGGCCUCACCUGCCGUUCUCAACAUCUUCGACGGCGGAUCUGCGAGCCCACGCCGGCGUCUGACACACGACAGAUGGGGCAAGCGGCAGCAAGGGCUAGCAGCUAGCGCGGCACAGCGGAGGCUAGCUCGCCGUGGAGCAGCGUGGCUCAUCUCCAUAGCAGCCUGGGCACAAGGAGCUGAGUCUACUAGCGGAUUGUUAGUCUGUUUGUUUUCUCAGCAUCAUGAGCGCUGAAGAACAUGGUGGCAUCCACGUUGACCUGAAGAACAUGUGAGUGGAUCUCACCAGUCACCACGAAGAUGUAUUUCAAAUUGCAAUAACCGAGUGAUAGCCCUGAUGAAUUUUGUGAUAGACUGAUAGUGAGUAUGGACGCCACUGCUUCUGCUUCAAAAUUUCAGGACAGUCAUUUCACCUUUGCCAGUACCAUGGUUAUCUUUUUUCUGUGGACUCCUACAUGAAUCUUCAGCUUGCUAACACAGGAGUACAUUGAUGGGCAAUUCUCCAGGAACAUGGGAGAGAUUUUGAUCAGGGACCUUCCAUGCAUAAAGAGCUGAAGAAAAGAGAAGACCGUUGCAGCCUGUGCAAGGCGUUCUGGGCCAAGUACCGGUGAUGACAGCUCCAGUGAUAUGUAAGAUUUUGAUCCUACCCCUAAUUCUAUAUGGAUUUUUAGUUCCCUUGUCAGGUUCUCACUGAUUCGAUUGAGACUUCAGUAAUGGGCUGGACUUCGCCAUUGCUAGGUCCAUUAAGGCAGCUAAUAGAUAUCAGGAUUGAGUCUCGACUCCCGACUCCCCCAGUUGGCGUCUUCUUCCUCCAGACGUCUCUCGUUCCUCGUCUACAGUAGAUCGGGGCAAACCAGGGGCAAUUCGUUUCCCGGCGUCGAUUUCGUCUGCUUCUCUUCGCCUCCAGUGGCCGUUCCGGCGCUGGAGGUGAAGGGAAGCUACGGAAUCGAUGGCCGGUGUACAUACCUACUCCUAUUAGUCUAGGUUUCUAUAGGUUAGGGUUUGCCUACUCCGAAUCGAGGUCGCCUGUUCGGAGUUUAUGUCCGUUCCCCUCUUCCGCGGCGACGGCGUCGGCUUCAGCUUCGUCUCCGGCGACGGGGACGUCCGGCAAGGAUCCGUUUUCUGUGGCCAAGAUGGGGUAUGUUUUCUUACCAAUCUGUGGAAUUGGGUUGGUUGUUUGUCCCACCGUCUCUGGUGGUUUACUUCCCCUUCGGGGUUCUUGUUGUCCGGCCACCCGGGGUCGUUGUCUGAGGCGUCAGACUCCCUGGUUUCAGCGAUGUGAUGGCUGUCGGCCAUCUCUCCUGGCCUGUUCGUUCAUCGUCUUCAAGGUGCAUUGGUUCUCUGAUGUGCUGCUCAUGGUGCCUUUCAAACUUCAUUUCCUUCGUCGGUGUGGUGGUCGGCUUCAUGGAUGGCUCCAAUCGUCGGCGACAAGGAAGACCGGGGAUUCUUUCAAGGAUCUGAAUGUAACUUCCGUUUCUUUCAAGUUUGUCUUUGUAAGAUGGGUUGUAAACUACCAGUUUUAUUAAGAAUGAAAAUCCCGGUUCCUCUCAAAAAAAAAAGAUAUCAGGAUCCAUUGAGGCAUUGAGAUGGUGGGUUCUCUUCUUUUGAUUUAUUCAGUUACCUCUUAAUGUUGUUUUCUUCAGGCAGGCAGUAUGUCUAGGCUGAAUCUCCUGCUUUUCUUGUCACAAUUGAAAACUGUUUGCGGAUGCGAGAGGUCAGGGCAUUCCACGAUAUUCAGUUUUGACAUAUUGCAAUAUCUGCUAUUUUUACCGGAAUAAGAAUAGUAUAAGAUCCAUGACUUUGCUGGAGGCUGUGAUAAAAAUGAAAAUGGCAUCCCUCCUACCUCGACAUCCAUGCCUCCUCUAAUGUGCUUGUUGAUAUGCAGAGAUGAUGCAUAGAAGUAAUGUGCCUAUCUUGUUGAUUAUUAAUUAUCAGUCCUGGUUAAGUACAAUGGAUUGCUCAUCUCUCUAGCUUGCAGUACACUGGAUAAAAUCGUUUACUGUUCUAUGCCAGUAAGUGGUUAUUCUUUUAGAUGCAACCAACUGUUGCUGGUCGCUUCCUGUUCAGUCCUAGAUGAUUUUGGUUCCAAGUGACAGGGAUGGGAUAUGUUAGACCAGCACCUGGGUGCAGCUUACAAUAAUACUAAAUGGAUGUCAUUUGAAAGCACUAGCUGCAACUGAAGCAGACUAAGGGCCACUGGAUUCGUCAGACACUCUGCUCCAUCUACUGCUUCCAGUGCACGCAGAGUGUGCAAGGCAUAUAUGCUUCACCAAAGAUCGGCAGGUGGGAAGACUGAAACUAGAGAAGGCUAUUCUUAGACAAGCAAAAAGUAUUGCUAGAGACUUAGUGGAUUUGGUUGUGAUGUAUAUAUAUUGAGUAGGAGUGAUUUAUGUAUGUGGGAUGAAAUGAGUAGCCAGAAGCUACAUUGUGUGUAUAUAUAUUCAUAUUUGUGUAAACAGAUGAAGUAGCCAGAAAGCAUUGAUAUUUGUAAUCAAUACGAUGCAUUUUUUAUUGUAA